rnacentral:lncRNA from 1 species
CCAAGAAGAAGGUCUUUGCACGAGCUAGCACUUUCGAGAAGACCGAUCAGAUUGGGGCUUCGAGUGGACUUUUCGUAAAGGUCAGACGUGUGUGUGACUACGAGCAACCAAUGAGGACCCUCUCUACUAUAUCUCUCUAUAGUAGUGAUUAUCGACCUAUGCUCAGGUAUCGAGUUCUGAACUCAGAUUAGAAGUAGAUGUGAUCUAUUGCACACAUGCAUGCAUGUUGAUUUUAUUUUUAGUAUUUUUUAGAUUUUAUAUGCAACAUAUCAUAUCAUAGAUCUUAGAGUAGAUUGAUUUGAUAAUAAGAUCAUAUGUAUAUUAGAUUAAUUUGAUUAAUCUAAUUAUCUUCCACUAAAAUUUAUUCAAGAAAAAUUCAAAAUACAUGCAUGAAAUCGCCUACGCAUCCCAACAGU